UACGAAGGGGGCUAGCGUUGCUCGGAAUCACUGGGCGUAAAGCGCACGUAGGCGGCUUGUUAAGUCAGGGGUGAAAUCCUGGAGCUCAACUCCAGAACUGCCUUUGAUACUGGCGAGCUUGAGUUCGGGAGAGGUGAGUGGAACUGCGAGUGUAGAGGUGAAAUUCGUAGAUAUUCGCAAGAACACCAGUGGCGAAGGCGGCUAACUGGUCCAGAUCUGACGCUGAGGUGCGAAAGCGUGGGGAGCAAACAGG
rnacentral:rRNA from 1 species